GCUGGCGGCAUGCUUUACACAUGCAAGUCGAACGGCGAGCGGCGGGGGCAACCUGGCGGCGAGUGGCGAACGGUGAGUAAUGCAUCGGAACGUAUCCUGUAAGUGGGGAUAACGUAGCGAAAGUUACGCUAAUACCGCAUACGCUCGAGAGAGGAAAGUGGGGGAUCGCAAGACCUCACGUUAUAGGAGCGGCCGAUGUCCGAUUAGCUAGUUGGUGGGGUAAAGGCCUACCAAGGCGACGAUCGGUAGCUGGUCUGAGAGGAUGAUCAGCCACACUGGGACUGAGACACGGCCCAGACUCCUACGGGAGGCAGCAGUGGGGAAUUUUGGACAAUGGGCGAAAGCCUGAUCCAGCCAUGCCGCGUGCGGGAAGAAGGCCUUCGGGUUGUAAACCGCUUUAGUCCGGGAAAAAGGGGUGCGAGGAUAAUACCCUCGUGCUUUGAUGGUACUGGAAGAAUAAGCACCGGCUAACUACGUG
rnacentral:rRNA from 1 species